rnacentral:rRNA from 1 species
GACGAACGCUGGCGGCGUGCUUAACACAUGCAAGUCGAACGGAAAGGCCCUUCGGGGUACUCGAGUGGCGAACGGGUGAGUAACACGUGGGUGAUCUGCCCUGCACUUUGGGAUAAGCCUGGGAAACUGGGUCUAAUACCGAAUAGGACCGCGCGCUUCAUGGUGUGUGGUGGAAAGCUUUUGCGGUGUGGGAUGGGCCCGCGGCCUAUCAGCUUGUUGGUGGGGUAAUGGCCUACCAAGGCGACGACGGGUAGCCGGCCUGAGAGGGUGACCGGCCACACUGGGACUGAGAUACGGCCCAGACUCCUACGGGAGGCAGCAGUGGGGAAUAUUGCACAAUGGGCGCAAGCCUGAUGCAGCGACGCCGCGUGAGGGAUGACGGCCUUCGGGUUGUAACCCUCUUUCACCAGGGACGAAGCGCAAGUGACGGUACCUGGAGAAGAAGCACCGGCCAACUACGUG